rnacentral:tRNA from 1 species
GGUAAGAUGGCUGAGUGUUAAGCGGUGGAUUGUAGCUCCAUAAACAGAGGUUCAAUCCCUCUUCUUAUCA